GAUGUUUGACAGAAAGUGGGAAUCUAUUUCUGAUAUUCCAAAACUAUUUUCUUAACUCUGCAGGGCCCUGAAGGAGUAAACAAAUGUCCUACAGACUGUACGUGCACUCUGCUAAAAAUGUAGCAAUAGCCAGAGCUGUCUGCGGUUGCUUUCCUUUUGUGAAUGCACUCACACUUGCAGUUGUGGUCCAAGUGGGAUACCCCAGCCCACAGAUGGCUAGACAGACACGUCUACAAGCCCUUACUGCAUCAUGGUUAUGACAAGUGGCAGGCCUGGCUGGCUGCGUUCCUUCUCUCUGCAUGUUUCUGCGAGGUAGGUCACAGUAGCAGCCGUCCCGGUCAUAGCCGUGACCUCUCGUUCACGUAAACUCAUAGCUUUAUGUGAAGCAGCUAAGAUUUUGAGAUUUGCUCUAGUUGCCUACAGAUCCCAACCUAAGCUGGGUGCCAUGUGCUGAGACGGCAUCUAGACCAAAUGAAUAAGGUUUGGGGUUGUGAGUUAGCUAACAGAUGGUUUUAAAUACUGACGUGAGUUCUAGUGAGAGGAGUCACGUUGCAAAAUAACACUCGAGCUUCAUGGACUGAUUAGAUUAGCACUCCAGCAUUCUUGUAUUAGCAGUGCUGUGUGGCCAGGUCCCCGCUGCAUUAGUAGCUUGAGUGCUUGCAGUUCUUGACCUUCCGCCCAUGCU
rnacentral:lncRNA from 1 species